CCCUUAGAUGUUCUGGGCCGCACACGCGCUACACUGAAGGAGGCAGCGUGUACUCCUGGAUCGAAAGAUUUGGGUAACCCGCGAAUCUCCUUCGUGCUAGGGAUUGAGGUUUGCAAUUAUCCUUCAUGAACGAGGAAUUCCCAGUAAGUGCAAGUCAUAAGCUUGCGCUGACUACGUCCCUGCCCCUUGUACACACCGCCCGUCGCUACUACCGAUUGAAUGAUUUAGUGAGGACUUCGGACUGGGACCGAUGCGGCUUUCGGGCUGCGUCGGUAUUCUGGAAAGAUGUCCAAACUGUAUCAUUUAGAGGAAGUAAAANUCGUAACA
rnacentral:rRNA from 1 species